GACGAACGCUGGCGGCGUGCCUAAUACAUGCAAGUCGAGCGGACGAAUCGAAAGCUUGCUUUUGAUUCGUUAGCGGCGGACGGGUGAGUAACACGUGGGCAACCUGCCCUGUAGACGGGGAUAACACCGAGAAAUCGGUGCUAAUACCGGAUAACACGAAAUGUCGCAUGACGUUUCGUUGAAAGACGGCGCAAGCUGUCGCUACAGGAUGGGCCCGCGGCGCAUUAGCUAGUUGGUGAGGUAACGGCUCACCAAGGCGACGAUGCGUAGCCGACCUGAGAGGGUGAUCGGCCACACUGGGACUGAGACACGGCCCAGACUCCUACGGGAGGCAGCAGUAGGGAAUCUUCCGCAAUGGACGAAAGUCUGACGGAGCAACGCCGCGUGAGCGAAGAAGGCCUUCGGGUCGUAAAGCUCUGUUGUUAGGGAAGAAUAAGUAACGCAGUAACUGGCGUUACCGUGACGGUACCUAACGAGAAAGCCACGGCUAACUACGUG
rnacentral:rRNA from 1 species